UACGUAGGGUGCAAGCGUUGUCCGGAAUUAUUGGGCGUAAAGAGCUCGUAGGUGGUUUGUCGCGUUGUUCGUGAAAUCUCACGGCUUAACUGUGAGCGUGCGGGCGAUACGGGCAGACUAGAGUACUGCAGGGGAGACUGGAAUUCCUGGUGUAGCGGUGGAAUGCGCAGAUAUCAGGAGGAACACCGGUGGCGAAGGCGGGUCUCUGGGCAGUAACUGACACUGAGGAGCGAAAGCGUGGGGAGCGAACAGG
rnacentral:rRNA from 1 species